rnacentral:rRNA from 1 species
UACGUAGGGGGCAAGCGUUGUCCGGAAUUAUUGGGCGUAAAGCGCGUGUAGGCGGCCAGAUAAGUCCGCUGUGAAAUCUCGAGGCUCAACUUCGAGCUGUCGGUGGAAACUGUCUGGCUAGAGUCCGGAAGAGGAGAAUGGAAUUCCUGGUGUAGCGGUGAAAUGCGCAGAUAUCGGGAGGAACACCUAUGGCGAAGGCAGCUCGCUGGGACGUUACUGACGCUGAGACGCGAAAGCGUGGGGAGCAAACAGG